UACGGAGGGUGCAAGCGUUAUCCGGAUUUACUGGGUUUAAAGGGUGCGUAGGUGGUUUGGUAAGUCAGCGGUGAAAUCUCCGUGCUUAACAUGGAAACUGCCAUUGAUACUACCGGUCUUGAAUUUUCUGGAGGUCAGCGGAAUAUGUCAUGUAGCGGUGAAAUGCUUAGAUAUGACAUAGAACACCAAUUGCGAAGGCAGCUGGCUACAGGGAUAUUGACACUGAGGCACGAAAGCGUGGGGAUCAAACAGG
rnacentral:rRNA from 1 species